rnacentral:rRNA from 1 species
GGACGAACGCUGGCGGCGUGCUUAACACAUGCAAGUCGAGCGGUAAGGCCCGUUUCGGGGGUACACGAGCGGCGAACGGGUGAGUAACACGUGGGUGACCUGCCCUCAGCUCUGGGAUAAGCCUGGGAAACUGGGUCUAAUACUGGAUAUGACUCCACGGUGCAUGUCGGUGGGGUGGAAAGCCUUGUGCGGCUGAGGAUGGGCCCGCGGCCUAUCAGCUUGUUGGUGGGGUGANGGCCUACCAAGGCGACGACGGGUAGCCGGCCUGAGAGGGCGACCGGCCACACUGGGACUGAGACACGGCCCAGACUCCUACGGGAGGCAGCAGGUGGGGAAUCUUGCACAAUGGGCGAAAGCCUGACGCAGCGACGCCGCGU